rnacentral:rRNA from 1 species
CACGUAGGGGGCAAGCGUUGUCCGGAUUUAUUGGGCGUAAAGAGCGUGUAGGCGGCCAGUUAGGUCCGUUGUGAAAACUCGAGGCUCAACCUCGAGACGCCGAUGGAAACCAACUGGCUAGAGUCCGGAAGAGGAGAGUGGAAUUCCCGGUGUAGCGGUGAAAUGCGCAGAUAUCGGGAAGAACACCCGUGGCUAAGGCGGCUCUCUAGUACGGUACUGACGCUGAGACGCGAAAGCGUGGGGAGCGAACAGG